rnacentral:tRNA from 1 species
AGCCUCGAAGCUCUGUUGGCUAGAGCGUUGGCUGUACUAAAACCUUCCUCUUGCUGGCGUGGGUUCAAAUCCCACCGAAGCCC